GCUUACAGCCAUACCACCCUGAACACGCCCGAUCUCGUCUGAUCUCGGAAACUAAGCAGGGUCGGGCCUCGUCCGUACUUGGAUGGGAGACCGCCCGGGAAUACCGGGUGCAGUAACCU
rnacentral:rRNA from 1 species